rnacentral:lncRNA from 1 species
GCGGCGCGUGUGGAGGAAUCUGCCGGAGAAAUUUCUGGGGUUUGGUCGGAAUUCCGAGCCGAACCUCGUGGUGGUCUUGGAUUUUGCACAACACCAACAAAAAAGGUGGUUUAGUUCGGACAGCCUCUUAAGUCGCCGGAAAACACUGAUAAUUAGUGACUUUGACGUAAUUAGUCACUUAGGUCACCGGAAAAUUGCACGAUGACCGAGUUAUUUCUUCCCGGAUGUCGUUGGAAUGACGCACAACGAUAAUUAUCUCACCAAAGCUCUGAUCCCAUGUGAGAAAGC